ACAAAUGGAUGAUGAAGAGAACCGUCUAUGGACAGCAAGUGAAGAUGAAAGUGACUCCGAUAAAGGUGAUAGUCAUAGCCGUCUCAGAAAAGAGAUUAGGAAAGCCAAACAACGAGCAAAAGCGCAAGAUGGUCCUAUUGAUGCAGAUGAUAGUGAUGAACUGAGAAGUAUGUGGUCUGAUAGUGAUGAUGAGAAGACAUUAUGGACUGGUAGUGAAGGAGAUGAUGAUGAUGAUAUUCCGACUGAACCAUACCCAAACAAAAAGAGUGAUAGUUACAUUGAUAAACUGUUUGAGUUUGAGGAAAAACCUAAAUAUAGAACACUCUCUGAAGCCUUGAAAUCUG
rnacentral:misc_RNA from 1 species